AACGAACGCUGGCGGCAUGCCUAACACAUGCAAGUCGAACGAGACCUUCGGGUCUAGUGGCGCACGGGUGCGUAACGCGUGGGAACCUGCCCUUAGGUUCGGAAUAACUCCCCGAAAGGGGUGCUAAUACCGGAUAAUGUCUUCGGACCAAAGGUUUAUCGCCUUUGGAUGGGCCCGCGUUGGAUUAGCUAGAUGGUAGGGUAAAAGCCUACCAAGGCGACGAUCCAUAGCUGGUCUGAGAGGAUGAUCAGCCACACUGGGACUGAGACACGGCCCAGACUCCUACGGGAGGCAGCAGUGGGGAAUAUUGGACAAUGGGCGAAAGCCUGAUCCAGCAAUGCCGCGUGAGUGAUGAAGGCCUUAGGGUUGUAAAGCUCUUUUACCCGGGAUGAUAAUGACAGUACCGGGAGAAUAAGCUCCGGCUAACUCCGUG
rnacentral:rRNA from 1 species